CGCCCACCUCGGGCCCCGCCUCCGCGUCUCCGGAGCCGCCGGGGCGCCAGGCCCCCGCCGCGCGCCGGAAGUACGUCAUCUCCCAGGACCUCCCCAGCCGUUCUGUUUCCUGAGACGCCGCCCGCUGGGGCAAACCGAAGGAUAUGAGCCGAUUACUCAGCAGCGGAGCUUCGUGUGAGAAGUAGGAAUAAUAGCCUGCUCUGGGUAUGGUGAUGAUGUGCAGAAGCAAACUACCCUAAUCUGGGCUUCAUGAAUGCUGCUAUCGUGGUUACUGGCCCUAAAGGACCUUGUGAGAUACCACAUCCUGUUUUGCAGUUGCCAACCCAAGCUUCGAAGGAAAGUGACUUGGUAGUUACAAAGCUAAGGUCACAAACAGGUAGGACUGUUGCACCAAUUUGGAGUACAAAUAAAGUCAGAAUAUUUUUUUCUGCUAGAUGGUUGAGCAUCCAAUGCCUCCUUGAAAGAAGAGGAAUACCUUGAAAACCUGAAGACCUUAUGUCUUUCUCCUUAUUAGGGAGACCCAGAUGGACUUAACUAACAAUGGAAAAAGUCCAAUCAGUCCACCACUGAUUUACAACCAUUGAUUUACUGUAAGAAUUAGUAAAUCAGAAGGGCGAGCUCUCAUGCCCUUCACUUCCCGUCAUCUGCAGGCCCAGCAGGAAGAGACUCACCUUGUAAGUGCACGGCGCUUUAGCUACUAUAUUAUUCCAGCAGGAGGAAGAACGGUUCUCUCCCCACGUCCACCAGCCCAACCAAUGAAAAGCCAUUAUACUUCAAACCCCUGGUUUACUGCAGUGGACUUUUUGCUUGUAACAGCCCUCCCAACUUCCUCUGUAGGAGAACCUUCCUCUCCUUGGUUCUUGGGACUUGUGUAUGGUUUUGACACUACAUUGCUUUCUUGCUGGAUUGCAGUUCUCCGAUAUUUUGCUGGAACAAGAUCAGAACCCUGAAGCCAAUUGCCUGGGAAGAAAAUUCAAGAACUCCAAACUCCAUCUGACGCCAUAGCCAACACCCUCAUCUUCCUGCCGUUGACUCACUGAGCACUGUGGUGCUUUCCUUGUUUAGUGCUGCUUCUUCCCUCAGCCUGGUCAGCUGAUCUUAGCUCCACCGAUAUGACUUUAGCACUCUGAAUGUUGGCUCAAAGCUCACCUUUCUGUCCCCAUUUAUCACUGUCUCUGGUUGAACAGUAGAAUGCUCCUAGGACUUGAUCCCAUUCUGGCUUUCUGUGGAGUGUGGUUGGGAAGGGCAGGUCAACCAAUGUAGCCUCGCCCAUAUUACUGUGGAAAUCAAUAAAGGGAAACCUCACUAAAGUAGACUUGAGAGGCUGGAAGGGGAAGCUCCAAGGGGAGAGCAGUACUAUUCAACAUUAAUUAUAGAAAGAAAUGUCAAUUACAGGCUCCAGCAGAAGAAUCUUCAGCAGGAAAGAAUUGUCAAUUUCAGGCCCCAAAAGAAAAAGAUGUUGACUGCAUCUCCCCAAGAAAUCAACUAUCACUGCAACUCAGCCAGUGAGAAACUCACCACCUUGAACUCUUGCUUUUCUUCAGUGGAUGUUCAUUCAAAACAACCCCUCCCAACUUCCUCCAUCUUCUUCAUGAAAUCAUAGUUCUCUGUUUGUUGGACUCGCCUUUGGUUUUGCUAUAGCUUGCAUGUUCUGAAUUGCGAUUCUGUUAUUCCCAAAUAAAACCAUUUUGCUGGUAAAAUAA